CCUACGGGAGGCAGCAGUGGGGAAUAUUGCACAAUGGGGGAAACCCUGAUGCAGCGACGCCGCGUGAAGGAAGAAGUAUUUCGGUAUGUAAACCUCUAUCAGCAGGGAAGAAAAUGACGGUACCUGACUAAGAAGCCCCGGCUAACUACGUGCCAGCAGCCGCGGUAAUACGUAGGGGGCAAGCGUUAUCCGGAUUUACUGGGUGUAAAGGGAGCGUAGGCGGUGAUGCAAGUCCGAAGUGAAAGCCCGGAGCUCAACUGCGGGACUGCUUUUGAAACUGAAUCACUAGAGUGCAGGAGAGGUAAGUGGAAUUCCUAGUGUAGCGGUGAAAUGCGUAGAUAUCACGAAGAACUCCGAUUGCGAAGGCAGCUUACUGGACUGCAACUGACGCUGAGGCUCGAAAGUGUGGGUAUCAAACAGGAUUAGAUACCCGUGUAGUC
rnacentral:rRNA from 1 species